ensembl:lincRNA D930030I03Rik RIKEN cDNA D930030I03 gene
AUCUGUUUCCCAUCUGUGGGGGAGGAAGGCCUCGUUCUCCGAGGUCCUGUUUUGGCCCAGGUUUUCGAAGCCCUAGCUUUGUUAACCUCUGAGAACUAAGGACUAACGCCCCCACCUUCUCCUCCCAAUGCUCCAGGUUCCCUUUUUGAGCUCUCCAUGGAAGAGUGUGGGAACCUACGGAGGAAGUAGCCAGUAUCUUUUCUCUUUGAAAUUCCUUUUCACCUUGGCACAUGCAUCCAUCCUGGCCCAGGCCCACCCUUCAGAAGUCAUUAUUCCUUAACCCACUCUAAACGGGCACAGGUGACAAAGCCAUCAAACUAUACAAUCAAAGCCGAAGUACACUUCGGGAUUUCCCAUUGGUUUCCUGGCCUGGGUAGAAAGAGGAAUAGGGAGAGGGGAUGAGGGGAGGGGAGGCCGCGAUGCACUCAGGAAAGUCUUGGUGGCCACUUUGAGGACACUGGCCUAGCACCAGUCUGGAGGUGAGAGCGGGACCGAGCGGGUACUAGGUGGCAAUGGCGGCGUUGAGCCCAGAUGUCAGGUUCCGAGAAUAAACGUGUGCCAGUGAACACUCUCCCCCGUACCCUCGACCCAGCUCGGUACAGCCUCGUCUCCGGAAAGGCACAAAUCGGGCCUUGUGCUUAAAUGGAGUAUCUGCUUCUAUACAGUGACCCUGACGCACAUCAAAGAUCCUGCUUUGACUCCUUAGACUUAAGAUCAGAACAUGUCUGCUCAAAAAUUUCAGACCUACUCCCAAGAACUCACAUCCCCUCUUCUAUGUCUUCAAAACAGAAAAAAAGGAAAGACUUAUCUGGGAAGGAAACUUGAACUGAACAUUUAACAUCUAUUAAUUUUGGCGUUGGUGACUCUAUUCUUGUGUAAAUAAAUCUAUUAAUCACAAUAAUAAAGGAGGUGUUCACGUGG